rnacentral:rRNA from 1 species
AAACCAACAGGGAUUGCGCUCAGUAACGGCGAGUGAAGCGGCAAAAGCUCAAAUUUGAAAUCUAGCACCUUCGGUGUUCGAGUUGUAAUUUGAAGAUGGUAACCUUGGGUUUGGCUCUUGUCUAUGUUCCUUGGAACAGGACGUCAUAGAGGGUGAGAAUCCCGUCUGAUGAGAUGCCCAUUCCUAUGUAAGGUGCUUCGAAGAGUCGAGUUGUUUGGGAAUGCAGCUCUAAGUGGGUGGUAAAUUCCAUCUAAAGCUAAAUAUUGGCGAGAGACCGAUAGCGAACAAGUACAGUGAUGGAAAGAUGAAAAGAACUUUGAAAAGAGAGUGAAAAAGUACGUGAAAUUGUUGAAAGGGAAGGGCAUUAGAUCAGACUUGGUGUUUUACGAUUUCUUCUCUUCUUGAGUUGUGCACUCGUAUUUCACUGGGCCAGCAUCGAUUCGGAUGGCAAGAUAAUGGCAGUUGAAUGUGGCUUCACUUCGGUGGAGUGUUAUAGCUUCUGCUGAUAUUGCCUGUCUGGAUCGAGGGCUGCGUCUUUUGACUAGGAUGCUGGCGUAAUGAUCUAAUGCCGC